rnacentral:rRNA from 1 species
CUGACCGUAAACGAUGCCAACUAGCGAUCCGCCGGUGGCUACCAGGCCCUGGUGGGGAGCUUCCCGGAAACGAAAGUCUUCCGGUUCCGGGGGAAGUAUGGUUGCAAAGCUGAAACUUAAAGGAAUUGACGGAAGGGCACCACCAGGAGUGGAGCCUGCGGCUUAAUUUGACUCAACACGGGAAAACUCACCCGGCCCGGACACCGUAAGGAUUGACAGAUUGAUAGCUUUUUCAUGAUUCGGUGGUUGGUGGUGCAUGGCCGUUCUUAGUUCGUGGAUCGAUUUGUCUGGUUUAUUCCGAUAACGAGCGAGACUCCAGCCUACUAACUAGUACGAGCAUUGCCUCUGUGCUCGGCACUUCUUAGAGGGAUUGACUGCGUCUAGCGGUACGAAACGGAGCAAUAACAGGUCUGUGAUGCCCUUAGAUGUCCGGGGCUGCACGCGCGCUACACUGGCAAAGGCAACGUGCUUGUCCGUCUCCGAAAGGAGCCGGUAAACCCUUGAAAAUUUGCCGUGAUUGGGAUCGGAAAUUGCAAUUAUUUUCCGUGAACGAGGAAUUCCUAGUAAGUGCGAGUCAUCAGCUCGCGUUG